rnacentral:rRNA from 1 species
CCUACGGGUGGCAGCAGUGAGGAAUAUUGGUCAAUGGGCGGAAGCCUGAACCAGCCAAGUAGCGUACAGGAAGACGGCCCUACGGGUUGUAAACUGCUUUUAUACGGGAAUAACGCGCCUUACGUGUAGGGCUUUGCAUGUACCGUAUGAAUAAGGACCGGCUAAUUCCGUGCCAGCAGCCGCGGUAAUACGGAAGGUCCGAGCGUUAUCCGGAUUUAUUGGGUUUAAAGGGCGCGUAGGCGGCAUGACAAGCGUGCUGUGAAAUGUCCGGGCUAAACCCGGGCCUUGCAGCGAGAACUGGCGUGCUUGAGACCGCGGACGGCAGGCGGAAUUCGUGGUGUAGCGGUGAAAUGCUUAGAUAUGAUGAAGAACCCCGAUUGCGAAGGCGGCUUGCUGAAGUGGAACUGACGCUGAUGCUCGAAAGCGCGGGUAUCGAACAGGAUUAGAUACCCUGGUAGUC